AUCUGCAUAGAUAUGAAGUCAGCGAUUCCUAUACACUGUUACAAUUUGCAGAAACAUCCGAUAUAUAUCACGUAUAUUAGAUUGCAAUGAUACUCCGGACGAAGCAUUUAAAAUAGAAAUGCCAGUGACAAUUAAAAAUGUUAUUUAAAGGAGCUAUAUUUUAUGAGAUGGAAUAUGGGAAGGUGAUCAAGAACACGACAAUACAUGGGAUCUACAGUGCCUUUUACUCAGUCUCUGAUUACAGAAUUGAACCAGCCUUGAAUUUUUUAAGAAUACAUAAAAUUGUAUUCAACAGCCAUUGAAGACCAACAAAAAAGACUGAAGUCAAGUGUUAAGACAUUCACCUCAUCUUUACCAAAUGACUUAUUCAGAUACGCUGUUAACCAUACCACUGAAGUUCUUGCCGUGGAAGAAGAUUAGGAAACUUACCUUGUGUGAAUACUUGUACGCUACUUAUAUAGAAAAAAAAAACGGCUACGGCUUAUGUUAGAAUUGUACCGACUGUUAGAUCCAGAGACAUGUACAUACCUUUUGACUGAUAUAUUAUCGUCAUCAGUAUAGAAAGUGUCUGCCAAAUCAAAUUCUAUAAGAGGAAAUCAGAUGCGAUAUUAUCUCUCAAAGCUACCGUCAAUGGCCUUAUUUAAGAAGAACCUAUAGGGCGUGAAAAACAGUCUUUUGCACUGCAUACAUUUAAUAGCGAAAAGGCAGAAUAUGGGAAGAAAUGCAAACAUUUGUAUAAUUUGCUGCAAAAGAAUGAAGACAUGAGUACCAUCCUAAGUGAGCAUAAAAUAGAGAUAUUUGCACAGCAACAGACGACUCCUCGCCAUAAGGAAGAAAUGAAUCUGUUUAAGACAAAUUUCCAUCCAUAAAGAGUACUGCAAAAGAUAUAAAACACAACUGUCAGAACAUAUUACAGGACACUUAAAUCAUUGAGGUCUGAAUAAGAAGAAGCUAUUUGGUUAAAAAAAACGUUUAGACAAAAACCUACGUCUCUUGUCUCUAAAUGUAAAGAAGGCAAAGAUGUAUCGAUUAAACCGGAAAAAAAUUAUGAGAGUUUAUCCUAGGAGGAAAAAGACAAAAUCAGAAAUUUUGUUUUCUCAUGGACAGGUUUUGCAUCAGUAACGCAGCAUAUCAUGAACUGACAAUGCCCUCCGAUGAACUUCCCCGAUCUAACAUGCUGAUUGAGUGCCGUUUGGACGAUUCAUGUUGUAAGACUGCUCGAAAAUGUACCUGGAUCUAUGAUUGAAAUUGCUACCGAAGUUAAAAAUUAAUUGAAAAUCACUUGAAGAAUCAGCCUGAAUCAUCACAGCUAAAGAUAACUGUAUCGGGAGAUAGAGCUUAUGUAAGAAGUAUUUAAAAAUUGUUCAUAUUUUCCAUGUCUGAUGCUUCUUCCCACACAAAACAGUCUUAUCAGGAACAGCAAACCUUUGCAAUUGUAGAAUGUGGUGAAAUACUAUGAAAAUUUUAAAAAACCGCUGUUAACCUGUCUUUGAUCAAAAUUAACACUGUAUUAUCAAAACGAGGUUUGAAUGUUAUAGGGGCUUUAGCUAAGAGAUAUAAAAAUAACUAAAAUUGCGAUUUAACUUUUUUUUAUUCAAGAAAAAAAUAUAGAACACUUUUUAAAUCUUCAUAAAACGUGACCUGACCAACGCUGACAAUGACAGGACCAAAUGAAAUGCUAUUAAUUUUUUUUUUAUUUUUUGAAGGAUUUAUCUUAAAUUUGAAAUGAUAAUAAAAUUUGAUCAUUUAAUAUAUAAAUAUAUGAAAAAAAUAUAGUAGUUUUAAAUGUUCCCAAAAGUCAAUACAUUUAUCGUUUGCUUACAUGUAUAUGUUUGAAAAUUAUUUAUAUUUCUUAUUUGAUAAAAUUAAUGGUUCAAUCUAAGUGUUUCUAUAAAUAUGAUGCAAAGCCUAUUACAUAUAAAAAUGUAUAAAUUCAUUUUUCCUGGUCAUGAUAACGGUCAGAAUGUAGGACAGAAAGUCACAGAUAAAAAGUCACAGACAAAAAGUCACGGAAAAAAAGUCGCAUGUAUAUUAUGUUAUAAACAUUGAGUCCUGUUCAUAGUAAAAACUAAUUUUUUUUGGUUAAAAGAACGACAAUAUAAUAAUUUUGAGAAACAUCUUUCUGUAAUGGCCUUUCAGUGAAAAUCAAAUUAUAUGUACAUGUAUAUAAUUCUUUUAACGUUACCCUGUGUAAAGUUAUCAUAUUGGCAAUAUUUUUUAAUUUGCUGCUAAAAAUCCAUAGCGAUAAUUGUUAUUUUAUCAAAUUUCAAUAAUCCAAUGCCUAUAACUAAUGUUAAGAUAGUGCUACCAUAGUCGGAUCCAGAGGGCCCUUAGGGCCUCACACAAACAAUUUAAGCUUGUCCUUUCUUCAACUGUCAAUUUUCUGAUUGUAUCUUCUUAAUAUUAUGUAUAAAUGGUUAGGAGCUAAUAGCUAUAAUUUCAAACUGUCAACACCAAGUGGCACUUUGAUCUUAAAUCUUCACUUCAGCAUUUGAAUAAUUAUAGUCGAUGGACUGACUUGUAAAAACCAUCGUUCUUUGACACUGCAUUAAAUUGAAAACUUACAGAAGAGAGUUUUUGUAUGAGAGAUUUAGUCUAUUUCUAAGCGUUUUCCAAGUUUAUGCAUAUAGCAUAUAAUUUGUUGUUUCUAUGGCAACACUAUCACUAAUAAUGCCUGGAAUAUCAUUAAAAUUUCUCAAAUACAAAAAAAAACCUGCAUAAUGUCAGCAAAAUUGUAUACAUUCAUUGCUAUAUGUAUCGAAGUUCAUUAAAACGAAUUUGUAAAAAUCAGCGCUUAUCAGUAAUUUUUCAAAUGAACUGCUUGUUUCCAUGGCAACACAUUCAAUGGCAAAUAUUGCACAAUUGAAUAUAUAUAUUUUUUUUAAUGAUUUUAUUUGUUUUUUCUAGAUUGAGUAAUUGUUUUUCUUGUAUAUUUUUCAUGAUCAUGAAAACAGACUAAAAUUUCUUCAUACUCAGCACUUUUAUCCAGAUUAGAGAAAUUGUGUUUGUUUCCUUCAAGUGGUAACACCAUUAUCGAUAUACUAUAUACUAGGAAAAUUAUUCAUAUAUACACAUGUGUGUAUACAGUGAAACAUAAUAAGUGUUUUAGUUUUCCUACUUUUGUGCACAUUUAAGAAACUAACUGAAACUUUUUUCAAAAUUGCUUGAACCUUGUGUAUCAUCAUAAAAUUGUUUCCAUAGCAACACAGUUUAAACUAUAAUACCGUUAUAUAUGAAUAUGUGUAAAAUUUUGAUGAUUACAAUAAUUUCUACAUUUUGUAUAUUUAUUUAUUUUUUUCUGACUGCAAAAUUAGAUUUUAAAACAUUUUUUUUUCAAAAAUUUUCAAAUUUUUUUUUCUGAAAAAAAUGAAAACUAAGAAUUUUGUAUCCAUGGUAACAAAAAAAUGAGACAUAAUUCCCCAAUACUUUUUCGCGUCAUUGAUAAGAUAAGACGCUGGUAUUUAUGAAUUCAUGGUUGACUUUUACUCAGGUGUCCGCCAAAAAUUAUGGUGAGCAUUCAAAAAUGACCUUGAAAGGGUAUUUUUUUCUUAAUGCAAAUCACCUAAAAAGGGGGUAUAUGUGAUUAUGAUUGAAAAUUGAUAUGAAAAUAUCAGUUAUUAAAUAACAUUAAUAAAAUACAUAUAUUUGAUAAAAUCAUAAAUAAUUA